CCCCGAACGCCGGAGCGACGGGGGAAGCAGUCCAGCGACGGAAGGGGCCCGCGUUGCUCGUGUUUUUGGUGGGAUCUCAAUGGAGUAACUUACUAUUAAGUGCAAGAAACUGGACUUAGGUCUCAGUGCUGUCUUUCAGAGUGGAUUGAUCCGGAUUGGAGUGAGGGUGGAGGAAUCUAUGUAAAUUUAAGGGGAGAGGGGGAACGGAGCGCGGCCUGGUCGGGCAUGAAAUCUGGAGUCGGGAAGCCUCUGAGUGUUUUUAAUUUCAGUUUCCAAUAAAUGCAGAUUAUUAAGAGCUCGACAGGCCGGUCGGGCUAUUAAUAAUCUGCAUUUAUUGGAAACUGAAAUUAAAAGGCUGGUUCUCUACUUUAGGGCAACAGAUGCACGAUUUGAGAUUAGGUUUAUAUUAGCAAGCCACUAAUGUUUUACUUCUCCGUCCUCCUUCGGUCUGUCUUGACUUUCUACUAACUCCUCCUCUUACUACUACUACUACUAUUUUAUUAUUAUUGUUAUUAUUAUUAUUAGUUGUGAUUAGGAAUUCUCUUUGCAAACUCUGGUUAAUUUUAAAGUGUAAUACUUUCUGUUUGCAUUUUUAGAGACCUGAAAUAGAACUGGAAAUAGAGGUGAACGGGAGAGAAAGUAUCUGGAGAUUUUAUGUGAACAAUUGUAAACUUUCUUAAUGGAAGAGGCUCCCAAACCAACAUUUCAGGAUGAAUUGGAAUGGUGCAUCACUCAACUGGAGACUGGCCUUUUGCGUCUUAACCCAACUCCACAACAAGCCGAUGAAACACGCCACAUCCUUAAAGUAUUGCGCUCCCGUAAAGCUCCCCUUGUGAAGAAGCGGCAAAUGAUGCGCCAUGUCUUUGGAGAUUACCGUCUCAAAAUGGCUGAAGAAAACGAGAGAACAGCCAAAGCUGGUGUGACGCCCAUGCAGGUAGAAAUGCAACAAGGAAACAGCCUUCCUUCGGGCAGCAUGAUGUAUAGGAAGCAGCAAUCCAGCAGUCCUUCUGAAGCGUCGACUUCCUUGCUUGCAUCCUCAGAUAACAGCUUUCAAUUUAACUUUGUCCUACCUGAAGGAGCCACAGAAGAAACGGAUAGAACCACAGCAGAAGAGCAUGGAUUGGGUGACUCCAGGGAACAGUCUGCUGGUAACGAUCUCUCUAGGAUGCUGGACUUCUCCGCUGGAACACAGCAGCCUGGCUUUGCUUUCAACUUCACCAUCCCAGAGGCUUCCUCACCUUCAGGGGAUGCCGUAGAUCCUGGCUGUGGAGCUUCAGCAGAAAUAGCUCCAGAGAGCUGUUUCAUCUCAUCCAAGAAAGCUGUGGUGACAACAGCCUCUCCACACUCUGAUAGAACUGACGCGAAGGAUUGUGUAAGCAGACACAGAGAAGAACAUCCUCUGCAAGAGGCACCAAGAUUGGAAGCCACCCAAGUAGCUUCAACAGAGACUGCGGAAGAGAAAUUGGUUGUGGCAGCUGGUGGACCAUCGAAGAGAAGAAAGAAAAAGAAACUCCCACCGUCAGAAGUAGCACAGGUUGACCAAGGAUGUGGAGACAACAAGCUUGGUGAUCAAGGAACAUCUGAACAAGCUGAGAUAUUACAGGCAGAUGAUCAGUUGAAGAGAGAGGUAGACUGGUGUGUGGAACAGCUGGAACUCGGCCUGAAGACUCAAAAAUCCACCCCAAAACAAAAGGAGGAAGCUGUCCGUGCCAUCAAGACGUUACGCAGCAAAAAAGCAGUGUUGGCGAAGAAGCGCCAAGUGAUGCGCCUGAUGUUCGGCGACUACCGAGCAAAAAUGGCGGAGGAAAGGCAGAAGCAGCUGAAGCUCUUGCAAGCAGCUUCGAAAGCAGCUCACAUCACCGAGGUGAACGAAGAGAUGUGGAAGAAGAGAAGCCAGGUGUUCAGAAAGUCUGCAGAAGGAGCCAGAACCUCCAAGAACCUUCAGGAACCUUCUUGCUGUCAGACCCCAGCUUGUCUCAGAUCAACAGACCCUUCCUCUUUUAAAUUCAGACCAUCGCAAGAGGAAUUCUGCUUCAACUUUUUCUAAGCAAGGCCCCAGGAUGCCGAUUUUGAAAAGGCUCCUUUUUGGGGGGGUGGGGAAGUAGUAAUG